GGGGGUUUGAUGCCUUCCCCCCACUGCAAGGGGACCAGGGACGCUUCCGGUGCGUCACUUCCGCCUGGGAUGCGGGGCGGGACGCCGGAGGGGCGGAGCUUACGCCGGGGUGGCCGGAGGGAGCUGUAGGCGUCGCGUCCCGAGUGGGCGACCAGAAGCCACCCAGGGCCGGAGCGCUAGGGAGCCUGCCGGUUAAAGUGCCGUCCGCCGGAGUGCGUUUUCUGGCGCGCCCCCUGACGCGGGACGGUGGCCACAGUGUCGCCUGGGUGCAGGUUCAGCACCUGGAUUUUCUUCGUCCACCCAGUGACAGGCUCAUGAGCAUUACAAUCUCAGCAGGAAGAUUUGUGAGAGGAGUUUCCCAUGCAGUGACCAGAACGCCUGGGUCUACAAUCCACAUGGAACGCAGACGAGUAAACAGUAGUGCUCCGGUAAAAGGAGAUGAGCUGGACAUAUGGAACUUCCCAGAAGUUGUACAAACUCCUGCACUGACGGUGCACCUUCUUCAGCCACGGAAGGAGGAGGGAUCUUUGGAAGGAAAAGUGGGCUGGGACGCCACUCUGGAGCAUGGCCUCCACCAUGAAGAAGCCUGACCUCAGAGGCUGCUUCGGGUGCCCUGCCAUGUUGCGGGCCUAGGUGAAAGGUAAGACAAGAUCUCACAUCUUUCCACCCAGGGAAGUGGUUCGUUGGCUCUAGAAGAUUGUGAACAGCCAGGUGCUGGGGACAUCUGCUGGGCAGGAUCCCACGGGGCCAGGGCUUGGGAGGUGAUGUGACCACCACAGGCAAAGCCACCAAUAGGCCCGUGUGGGUGUUUGAUGUUUUAGGGGCCGGUGGUACCAUCCGGGGCUUGUGUUGUUCCCCCCAUCCCUUUACACAAAUAACA